GACGAACGUUGGCGGCGUGCUUAACACAUGCAAGUCGAACGGAAAGGCCCUGCUUUUGUGGGGUGCUCGAGUGGCGAACGGGUGAGUAACACGUGAGUAACCUGCCCUUGACUUUGGGAUAACUUCAGGAAACUGGGGCUAAUACCGGAUAGGAGCUCCUGCUGCAUGGUGGGGGUUGGAAAGUUUCGGCGGUUGGGGAUGGACUCGCGGCUUAUCAGCUUGUUGGUGGGGUAGUGGCUUACCAAGGCUUUGACGGGUAGCCGGCCUGAGAGGGUGACCGGCCACAUUGGGACUGAGAUACGGCCCAGACUCCUACGGGAGGCAGCAGUGGGGAAUAUUGCACAAUGGGCGGAAGCCUGAUGCAGCAACUCCGCGUGCGGGAUGACGGCCUUCGGGUUGUAAACCGCUUCCGCCUGUGACGAAGCGUGAGUGACGGUAAUGGGUAAAGAAGCACCGGCUAACUACGUG
rnacentral:rRNA from 1 species